GCCUGUACAAAUACAGUGUGACAUCAGGUGUGACACGAGGACCUUAAACAUAAACAUAAACAACAGAUAUUAGCUGCACAGGAAGAGAUGAAAUACAUCUUUACACCAUACAAAUACGUUUUUUUCAAUUCAGACUGGUCUGGUUGUGACAGUUUGUGCCAUUAGGGAGCAGGGAAGGAAACAUUUGCGGUGUCAUUUCUACUUUCCGUCCUGGUGGACUGAAGGCGGCAGGAGACUAAUAAAGCACCUUUCCACUUCAUUGCCUCAUAAAUCCUAAUACGUUUCAUAAAUGAACUGCCACACCCGCCGCUCUCUUACUUAGCUCCCCGUGUUCAUUUGGCUGCGUGACUGCAGACAGAUUCAUUUACCAGUGGCCUCGAGCCACCGCCGCCGCCGUCGCCGGGACCCAUUUCAAACGCGCCGCGUUCGCCGCUGCGUGGAUUACAAGCUCGCGCGCGCGCGCGCUCCGGUUCCAUCAAACGUCACCUCCGUCGGCUCGCGGAGGCUGGGAGCCGAUGCGCUCGUGCUCGCGCGGCUUGUGGCGGCUCGGUCGUGAGGUGAGGGGGCGGAUCAUGGCAGACGGCGACGCGUUUGAUCGCUUUAAAAAAAAAAAGCGAUCUUCUUUUUUUGGGACCGUGCACUCGAGCGAUUAGCGGCGUUUGCGCAGGCGCGAUGUGAAUUCUCACCUCGGGGCGACGCGGGGAAACUCUAAAUAAGGCUGAAGGUCUCAACCAAGGAUUGAAGUCACGUUGAGCAUCGGCGUGAUUUGAUACAAUUCUCUUUAUUUGUAUGAGUCAGCGGCGGUCUGUUCAGCAGGACACAAAGAAACACAAGGCUCAGUCCAUCUGGAUCCACAGUGGUCUCUGGAGAGCAAACAACCAGGAAGGAACUCAUAACCCCCCUCCUCCCCCCUCCUCCCCCCGUCUGGCAGAGACCUCUCCCGCUCGUCUCCCCUCUCUCUUGCUGUCUUCUUUCGUUCCGUCGCACCUCGUGAGCUAUCACUGUGCCACCCGCCGCCACAGACCUUUCGCAUCCUCCCUCGACGCUGCGGCCAUUUAACAAAGGCUUUACUCUCGAGUGACCACUACGCUGGUGUAUUUUCCGCAUUCCGCCGAACGUCGCGGCUCGAGUUUAUGAGUUGUUGCCUCCUCCAUCACAUUGUCUAUUCGCACAGGCCAUAUGUAGGCCACAGAAACAGAGCCAGCGGAGAAGAUGUCCUAUUCCCUGUUAUCAUCUGUUGGAAAAUAAAUAUCUGAGCAUGUCCA
rnacentral:lncRNA from 1 species